GUGCCUACGGGACGCAGCAGUGGGGAAUAUUGGGCAAUGGGCGCAAGCCUGACCCAGCAACGCCGCGUGAAGGAAGAAGGCUUUCGGGUUGUAAACUUCUUUUACCAGGGACGAAGAAAGUGACGGUACCUGGAGAAUAAGCCACGGCUAACUACGUGCCAGCAGCCGCGGUAAUACGUAGGUGGCAAGCGUUGUCCGGAUUUACUGGGUGUAAAGGGCGUGUAGCCGGGCUGACAAGUCAGAUGUGAAAUCCGGGGGCUCAACCCCCGAACUGCAUUUGCAACU
rnacentral:rRNA from 1 species